AAAAAAAAGAAAAAAAAAACCUCACUUUUGUUCAUAGGAAUUGACGAAGAAGAAGGAACCCACCAUCUCAACUUUCUCAAGUUCUCAACUGCUAUUCCUAUUCGUAUGAAAUAUCAGAAGUCGGUCCAAACUCUAGAAAUUUCAAAGUUCAAAAACAAAUAGAAACUCCAAAGUUAGAAGAGAAAUCGAAGCUUCUGGUAAACUGAAGAUUUAGUUUCUAAUUUGAGAGGGAAAUUUCCUAAAUUUCUUAAAUUCAUAAGUUUUUCCCUCCGAAAAUUCCCGUAAUAUUUGGGAUAUGGGAACUGCAAUUAGGUUUUACUCUUUUUCCCUUGACCAAAACUCCUCCUCCUAUACAGCUAUCACCAAAAAAAAUCUGGGAAAAGAACGAACCUCCCGCAAGAAGGGUUUGAGAUGCAAAAGACCGGAAAGAUCCUCUCUGCUCCUGAUCUUUACUUGAAAAAUCAUACGAAAAAGGACAAUACUAUGACAAGUGAGGAGGCACAAAAAAUCUAGGAUGAUGCUCAUAUCUUCUGCAUGGAAGGCCAAGUUAAAGAUGAAGUCAGGGCUGCACUAAAUUUUAUCAACUACGUGUAUGACAAAUUUGGGUUUACCUUCGAGCUAAAGCUGUCAACUAGACCAGAGAAUUACCUAGGAGAAAAAGAGACUUGGGAGAAGGCUUGGGAGAAGGCUGAGACGACUGUCGUAGUUUGGAAGAGUUAUACAUCAAACUAAACAAAUCAAUGAUUCCAGUAUAUUACUGCAUAUAUUACUGCAGGAUCUUUUUCUCCUGAGAUGGAGCCACCAAAGGAGAAAGAUUGUUUAAUAUAUAUUUUACGUGCCAUAGAGAUUGCAAUCCAAAGCUGUAGGGCUGCGUAGCAGUUGAAGACUAUCUAUUGAAAUAGGUUUUUUAAGCUUCUUUUAGGCAUUUUGUUUUUUUUACCAUAGUUGAUUAUGGUUGACUUUACUAAGAGUUGUAUUAUGUUCAUGGCUUGCAAAGUGUUUUUAGUUAGGUGUUUGUUUUUUUACCUUGUACAAACCAUAUUUCCUUUGGUUUUCAUACAAUGAUUAUUUACCCAAAAGAAUAGUUGGGUUAUAUAAAGUAUUACAUAUUGCAAA